rnacentral:rRNA from 1 species
UACGGGGGGGGCAAGCGUUGUUCGGAAUUACUGGGCGUAAAGGGCUCGUAGGCGGCCAACUAAGUCAGACGUGAAAUCCCUCGGCUUAACCGGGGAACUGCGUCUGAUACUGGAUGGCUUGAGUUUGGGAGAGGGAUGCGGAAUUCCAGGUGUAGCGGUGAAAUGCGUAGAUAUCUGGAGGAACACCGGUGGCGCAGGCGGCAUCCUGGACCAAUACUGACGCUGAGGAGCGAAAGCCAGGGGAGCAAACGGG